rnacentral:lncRNA from 1 species
UUUCUGGGAACGACCGAUAGGGAUUUUCCGCCGGGAGCUGAGGUUUGCGGGGGCUGAGCUCGAACCCGCUGGAAGUUCUGAGCACCCCGGUGCUGGAGGCGGGGGUCCCAGCGCGCCCGGGCCUCCCGGGGGCUUCUGCGCCCCAGACAGCACCCGGCGCGCUUUCCGGAGUGCUCGGAGUCACCCACCGCCCCAGAGAGGGUCAAGCUGCACGCUGGGACCAGCCGGGAGCGAGCGCUUUUCCACGGCGCCAGCCGAGGGGAGAGCCCCUCAUUCCUGUUUAAAGGCUUUCAGGAACGGGCUCCAACCCUUUUGAGUUUACAGGCGUCCAGAUGACAAGACAGGAAGAGGGGGCUGCCUCCCUGAAGAUGAAGUUGCUGCUAAAGUCGCACCACAUCUGCUUCUUCUGACAGCGCAGGCACUGGAGCUCCGGAAUCUUCCUUCUUGAGGCAUAGUGACCGGUUAAAACCACCCAGUGCAGGAGCCGUUAACCCGUUGAUGCUUCAGGCCAGGGAAUUCACCCGAGCGGGAAACGAGCCCGGAAACUCAACGGGCCUGAGAAGCCUCAUGGACUGCAGAUGCUUAUCAAGUCUAAAAGCGAGGCCAAGAAGAGAGGAGCCCCAGCUGGAACGCAGACCUGGGAAGGGGAGGAGAUGUCAGGUUUCACCUUGUCCUUGUUUUGUGUGGAGUCUUUUGAGAACCCCUGGUCUAGACAGAGGCAAGCAAUUUCGAACCUUUUACAGGAAAUCGCAUGGACAAUGACCAGGACAGAUAGACACAUGUCUGCAGUGACAGCACGCCCGGGCCGCGGCCCUGGGAGCACCCUGGGCCUGCACGGGCCGCCCUCGGCCUGCGGGGCUCUGCUGGUCAGCGGCUCUGCUGGUCAGCGGCCCUGCUCAUUCUGCCCGGCCGGCUUGGAGCUUGGAGUGGUGCCUGGCCCCGGGUGCCGAGCUUCUCUUGCAGAAUUUCAAGACUCAGGAUCGCCAAGCCCUUCAACCGACUUAACGCCAGCUGAAGACUCCCCGAAGCCCUCUCGGCGCAUCCGCUUCCCCUGCCCGAGCCUCCCGUCCGUGCUUCCGGGAGCCGGAGCCUUCUGUGGGCGGGGCGCACGCAGCACCCUGCGCACGCGGGCA